AAUUUUGGACAAUGGGGAAACCCUGAUCCAGCCAUCCCGCGUGUGCGAUGAAGGCCUUNGGGUUGNANAGCACUUUUGUCAGGGANGAAAUCGUACAGGCUAAUAUCCUGCGCGGAUGACGGUACCUGAAGAAUAAGCACCGGCUAACUACGUGACAGCAGCCGCGGUAAUACGUAGGGUGCAAGCGUUAAUGGGAAUUACUGGGCGUAAAGGGUGCGCAGGCGGUUUAUCAAGAAUGGUGUGAAAUCCCCGGGCUUAACCUGGGAAUGGCCCUUUUAACUGAUAGGCUAGAGUAUGUCAGAGGGGGGUAGAAUUCCACGUGUAGCAGUGAAAUGCGUAGAGAUGUGGAGGAAUACCGAUGGCGAAGGCAGCCCCCUGGGAUAAUACUGACGCUCAUGCACGAAAGCGUGGGGAGCAAACA
rnacentral:rRNA from 1 species